rnacentral:lncRNA from 1 species
GAUGCUCCUUUGCUCCUUGAGGAUGUGAGGAAAUGAUCUCCAAAAACACCAAAGGUUUGGUGUCUCUAAGUCUCCACACCAAAGAUGAGGUGUGAAGAUGAAAUGGAUGACUUAGAGAAGAAAAGAUUGCUAGCUAUUUCUUCCCUAUGUGGCUGGCCUCCUUGUAGAGAAAAAGAGAGAAAAUGUUUCACCUCUUUGCCUCAAGGAAACCCUAAUGAGGUAAAAGCUAUAAAGAUGCUUUUAUAUCUCUUUUCUUAGGUGAGUGGCAAACUUGCAAUUAAGCAAAACUUCCCACUACCCUUGCUAUAGCCGGCCAUCUUAAGUGAUUGGGCUAUUUGCCCAUAUUUGUUUUAGUUGUCAUACAACUUAAACAU